UNGUGAUGUUUCAUAAGAAAGUAAAACUGC
rnacentral:piRNA from 1 species